GCCGGCGUGGCGGAGCGGUUAAACGCACUCGGCUUGAGACCGAGAGUCCUCUGGACACACAGGUUCAAAUCCUGUCGCCGGCG
rnacentral:tRNA from 1 species